UACGGGGGGGGCAAGCGUUUGUUCGGAAUUAUUGGGCGUAAAGAGCUCGUAGGCGGUCUGUUGCGUCGGCUGUGAAAACCCGGGGCUCAACCCCGGGCCUGCAGCCGAUACGGGCAGACUAGAGUACUGCAGGGGAGACUGGAAUUCCUGGUGUAGCGGUGGAAUGCACAGAUAUCAGGAGGAACGACCGGUGGCGAAGGCGGGUCUCUGGGCAGUAACUGACGCUGAGGAGCGAAAGCGUGGGGGAGCGAACAGG
rnacentral:rRNA from 1 species